UACGUAGGGCGCAAGCGUUGUCCGGAAUUAUUGGGCGUAAAGAGCUCGUAGGCGGUUUGUCGCGUCUGCUGUGAAAACCUCAGGCUCAACCUGGGGCUUGCAGUGGGUACGGGCAGACUAGAGUGCGGUAGGGGGUGACUGGAAUUCCUGGUGUAGCGGUGGAAUGCGCAGAUAUCAGGAGGAACACCGAUGGCGAAGGCAGGUCACUGGGCCGCAACUGACGCUGAGGAGCGAAAGCAUGGGGAGCGAACAGG
rnacentral:rRNA from 1 species